rnacentral:tRNA from 1 species
ACCUGAGUGGCUCAGUUGGUUGAGUGUCUGACUUCGGCUCAGGUCACGAUCUCUCAGUUUGUGGGUUCGAGCCCCACAUCAGGCU